rnacentral:rRNA from 1 species
CUCAGGGAGGUAGGGACAAGAAAUAACCACACUGGAGAUUUUAUUUCUAGUGAUUGGAAUGAUGGGAAUUUAAACCCCUUUCAGAGUAACAAUUGGAGGGCAAGUCUGGUGCCAGCAGCCGCGGUAAUUCCAGCUCCAAUAGCGUAUAUUAAAGUUGUUGCAGUUAAAAAGCUCGUAGUUGGAUGUCUGCUGGAAGCAAUCAGUCCGCCCUAUUUGUAGGGUGUGCACUUGAUGAAUUCUGGCAUCUAUGUCCUAAUGUGAUAGAUACGGCGGUGUAUAUGGGUUGAUCCUAUAUACCCGUUUUUGUAUAUUAUAUUGGGAUAAUACCGUUACUUUGAGAAAAUUAGAGUGUUUGAAGCAGGCUAAUUGCCUUGAAUACUGCAGCAUGGAAUAACAAUAUAGGAUUUCGGUUCUAUUUUGUUGGUUUCUAGGACUGAAAUAAUGAUUAAUAGGGACAGUUGGGGGCAUUCGUAUUUAACUGUCAGAGGUGAAAUUCUUAGAUUUGUUAAAGACGAACUACUGCGAAAGCAUUUGCCAAAGAUGUUUUCAUUAAUCAAGAACGAAAGUUAGGGGCUCGAAGACGAUCAGAUACCGUCGUAGUCUUAACCAUAAACUAUGCCGACUAGAGAUAGGAAAAUGUCAUUUUUCUGACUU